UGGGGGGUCGUCUAACUGGCCAAGACGGCGGGUUUUGGUCCCGCAAACCGGGGUUCAAGUCCUCGCCCCCCAA
rnacentral:tRNA from 1 species